GAUGAACGCUGGCGGCGUGCCUAAUACAUGCAAGUCGAGCGAAUGGAUUAAGAGCUUGCUCUUAUGGAGUUAGCGGCGGACGGGUGAGUAACACGUGGGUAACCUGCCCAUAAGACUGGGAUAACUCCGGGAAACCGGGGCUAAUACCGGAUAACAUUUUGAACCGCAUGGUUCGAAAUUGAAAGGCGGCUUCGGCUGUCACUUAUGGAUGGACCCGCGUCGCAUUAGCUAGUGGGUGGGGGAACGGCUCACAAAGGCAACGAUGCGUAGCCGACCUGAGAGGGUGAUCGGCCACACUGGGACUGAGACACGGCCCAGACUCCUACGGGAGGCAGCAGUAGGGAAUCUUCCGCAAUGGACGAAAGUCUGACGGAGCAACGCCGCGUGAGUGAUGAAGGCUUUCGGGUCGUAAAACUCUGUUGUUAGGGAAGAACAAGUGCUAGUUGAAUAAGCUGGCACCUUGACGGUACCUAACCAGAAAGCCACGGCUAACUACGUGCCAGCAGCCGCCGUAA
rnacentral:rRNA from 1 species